rnacentral:rRNA from 1 species
CACGUAGGGUGCGAGCGUUGCCCGGAAUUAUUGGGCGUAAAGAGCUCGUAGGCGGUGUGUCGCGUCGGCCGUGAAAACCUGCAGCUUAACUGUGGGCUUGCGGUCGAUACGGGCAUCACUGGAGUUCGGCAGGGGAGACUGGAAUUCCUGGUGUAGCGGUGAAAUGCGCAGAUAUCAGGAGGAACACCGGUGGCGAAGGCGGGUCUCUGGGCAGUAACUGACGCUGAGGAGCGAAAGCGUGGGGAGCGAACAGG